CGCCCCCCCUCCUUUUUUUUCCACCUGUCAAUGAUGAUUUUAUUGUUUCUUAAAUCUUGUGGUGAAGGAUUACAUUAUUUCAACUUUUUAAUUCAAGAAAACAAACUGAUCUUCUGUCUACAGCUUAGAGGUGUGUAAUUUGUUGGAACUAGAACUUGUGACAUGAUUUUACAAGUUUAUUGGAAUAGAAGAUUUUUGUUUUCUUUGUUUCAUUUAAUCCCACUUAUUUCUACUUUUUUAAAAAAUUUAGUUGCCGACAAGCACAAUUGUUUAUGCUACCAUGUGAAAAAUCACCUUUGGUAUAGCACAAAAUAAAUAAGUUAAAACCCUUUUUUAGUAUAUUUUUUUUCUAAUAGACAAAUAUUUUCAUAAAUGAAUGUGUGAUACAAUCUUUUUAUUUAUUUAUUUAUUUUCAUUUUUUUUUAAAAUAAAUUUUAAUGAGACAUAGUUUUAUCUAAUUACAAUGAUUGAAGAAAAAUCCAUAAUUUAAAAGAAAAUGAAACUUAAGAUAACUAAUCAAGUCUCUUAAGUGUCCAGCUUUGGCAACACGGCAUAAAAUACUGCCGAAUUUUAUUUUAUAUGAAGCUAAUUAAAAUAAUAUGAGUUCUCACAUGUUUGCGUCAGUAAUUGUGUAUCAUCUCCCAACAAAAGGAUGUUCAGUAUUUUACUGUUGUUGUUUUUUUUUUUUAAAUGUAUGACCUUUGACUUUUAGUUGAUCUGUUUGAUGUACAUUUUGAAUGUUAUUAAACAAAUUAUUUAAAUCA